UUCAAGGGGAUCUUUUUGGAAAAGAAACCAGAAAUGAUUUAGUGGCGGAACGGGGGGAGGUAAACACGUGAGAAACCUUCCUUUUCACCAAGGGGAUAGCCUCCGGAAAACGGUGAUUAAUACCUUAUGACAUCACAAUAUCGCAAUGGUAUAGGGAUCAAAGAUUUAUUCGGUGAUAGAUGGUCUUGCGGGUGAUUAGCUAGUUGGUAAGGGUAACUGCUUACCAAGGCAACGAUCAGUAUCCGGCUUGAGAGGGUGAACGGACACACUGGAACUGAGACACGGUCCAGACUCCUACGGGAGGCAGCAGUGGGGAAUAUUGCACAAUGGGCGAAAGCCUGAUGCAGCAACGCCGCGUGAGCGAUGAAGGCCUUCGGGUCGUAAAGCUCUGUCCUCAAGGAAGAUAAUGACGGUACUUGAGGAGGAAGCCCCGGCUAACUACGUGCCAGCAGCCGCGGUAAUACGUAGGGGGCUAGCGUUAUCCGGAAUUACUGGGCGUAAAGGGUGCGUAGGUGGUUUCUUAAGUCAGAGGUGAAAGGCUACGGCUCAACCGUAGUAAGCCUUUGAAACUGGGAAACUUGAGUGCAGGAGAGGAGAGUGGAAUUCCUAGUGUAGCGGUGAAAUGCGUAGAUAUUAGGAGGAACACCAGUUGCGAAGGCGGCUCUCUGGACUGUAACUGACACUGAGGCACGAAAGCGUGGGGAGCAAACAGGAUUAGAUACCCUAGUAGUCCACGCCGUAAACGAUGAAUACUAGGUGUGGAGUAGAACUUCAGUGCCGCAGUUAACGCAAUA
rnacentral:rRNA from 1 species